UACAGAGGUCUCGAGCGUUAGGCGGAAUCACUGGGCUUAAAGCGUGUGUAGGCGGAUUGCUAAGUACCUUGUGAAAUCCCACGGCUUAACUGUGGAACUGCUUGGUAUACUGGCUGUCUUGAGCCACUUAGGGGCGACCGGAACAAACGGUGGAGCGGUGAAAUGCGUAGAUAUCGUUUGGAACGCCAAAGGUGAAAACAGGUCGCUGGGAGUGUGCUGACGCUGAGACACGAAAGCCAGGGGAGCAAACGGG
rnacentral:rRNA from 1 species